rnacentral:lncRNA from 1 species
AAAAUUUGUAAUCAGCAUAAUGACCCUUCAAAAACAACUUACAUUUCAAGAAGAGAGAAAUUCCAUUUUGACAACUAUACUCACGAAGAUACUUCUAGUCCUCAGAGUAGGCCUUUGGCUUCGGAUUUGAAAGGUUAUUUCAAAGUUAAAGACAGAACUCUCAAGCAUCAUUAGGAUUCCUCAAGAUUGCUAAGAAACUCCCUUCGAGAAAUAGCCAAUGUUAAUUGUACUGCUAACUGAACUAUGCAUAUCUAACUCAUCUCAAAUGACUCAUAAUGAGGCGCUAUAUAUUUGCUUUAAAAAUUAUGCACAGAAUGGUUUGGUGCAGAUAACUUAAGCUUUCUCAGCUGGGAAUUUCAGAAGAUGGGGGAGAACUUCUACAAGGGAGGGCAGGUACCUGUACAUGGAAGGAGCUGAGAUGUCUAAAGUCACCCACAUUUGUCAUUUAAAAAAGUAUAUAUAAAUAAAAGAUACUAUUUUGAAGAAG